rnacentral:rRNA from 1 species
UACGUAGGGACCAAGCGUUGUUCGGAUUUACUGGGCGUAAAGGGCGCGUAGGCGGCGUGUUAAGUCACUUGUGAAAUCUCUAAGCUUAACUUAGAACGGUCAAGUGAUACUGAUGUGCUAGAGUGCAGAAGGGGCAACCGGAAUUCUUGGUGUAGCAGUGAAAUGCGUAGAUAUCAAGUGGAACACCAGUGGCGAAGGCGAGUCCCUGGACAAUACCUGACACUGAGGCACGAAAGCUAGGGGAGCAAACAGG